UACCAAGUGAAGAGUCGAUUCUUUCUGAAUGUUGUAAUCCGCUAAUGUUCUACCAUCUUCAAGCUGCUUACCAGCAA
rnacentral:sRNA from 1 species